GAAUGAACGCGUGGCGGCGUGGUUAAGACAUGCAAGUCGAACGGUUUUGUGUGUAGCAAUACAUAACAAAAGCAGUGGCGAACGGGUGCGUAACACGUGAACAAUCUACCUUCAAAUGGGGAAUAGCUCGCCGAAAGGCGAAUUAAUACCGCAUGUGGUUGCCUCUCGCAUGAGAAGCAUACCAAAGUCAGGGGACCGCAAGGCCCUGACGUUAGAAGAGGAGUUCGCGGCCUAUCAGCUAGUUGGCGAGGUAACGGCUCACCAAGGCUAAGACGGGUAGCUGGUCUGAGAGGAUGAUCAGCCACACUGGAACUGAGACACGGUCCAGACACCUA
rnacentral:rRNA from 1 species